rnacentral:lncRNA from 1 species
UCUAGGCUAAGGAUUCCCAGGUGGCUCUCCCUUGGCUUCCAGGGACUUCCUAGAUGGGUGAGGAGUGCAGCUUCCGUGGUCAUCACCAGGAAGCCCAAGGGUUGCAGGCUUUCCCACAAUCAACCAACCAGGCACGUGUCCGACCCCGCUGGCCCCGUGUACACCAGGUCCGACAGCGCCGGCGGCACCAAUGAUGUAGACCCACCGUUUUCCUGCACAGGUGUUCACCAGCGAAAUUCUGCUUUCCAGUCCAAAUCACGGUAAUCAAAAGUUGAAUUCUCAAAUGAUAUCCAGAUUCCGUGGUUUCAUCCGAUCAUUUCUGGUGCAUACAUUCUGUGAUGUAUUGAAGGAAAGAGAAAUCGACAUGGUACUUUAUGCCUCAGGACACCAAUAACUUGAGCAACACUCUUCUUGUUGCAGAUUAUUUUUGUAGCAUAUUCUAGGACCGUAAUAGAAAAGCACUUCGAAACUACUACCAAUUAAAGG